UGAGCCCUUUCCUCCCGCAG
rnacentral:miRNA from 1 species